UACGGAGGGCGCGAGCGUUAAUCGGAAUUACUGGGCGUAAAGCGCGCGUAGGCUGUUGUGUAAGUUGGGGGUGAAAUCCCACGGCUCAACCGUGGAACAGCCCUUGAUACUGCGCGACUUGAAUCCGGGAGAGGGUGGCGGAAUUCCAGGUGUAGGAGUGAAAUCCGUAGAUAUCAUGAAGAACUCCGAUCGCGAAGGCAAGUGUCCGGGGUGCAACUGACGCUGAGGCUCGAAAGUGCGGGUAUCAAACAGG
rnacentral:rRNA from 1 species